rnacentral:rRNA from 1 species
UAAUGCUUGGGAAUCUGGCUUAUGGAGGGGGAUAACUACGGGAAACUGUAGCUAAUACCGCGUAGUAUCGAGAGAUGAAAGUGCGGGACCGCAAGGCCGCAUGCCAUGAGAUGAGCCCAAGUGGGAUUAGGUAGUUGGUGGGGUAAAGGCCUACCAAGCCUGCGAUCUCUAGCUGGUCUGAGAGGAUGGCCAGCCACACUGGAACUGAGACACGGUCCAG